CCUACGUGGGGCAGCAGUGAGGAAUAUUGGUCAAUGGGCGCGAGCCUGAACCAGCCAAGUAGCGUGAAGGAUGACUGCCCUACGGGUUGUAAACUUCUUUUAUAAAGGAAUAAAGUGAGGCACGUGUGCCUUUUUGUAUGUACUUUAUGAAUAAGGAUCGGCUAACUCCGUGCCAGCAGCCGCGGUAAUACGGAGGGUCCGAGCGUUAUCCGGAUUUAUUGGGUUUAAAGGGAGCGUAGAUGGGUUGGUAAGUCCGCUGUGAAAGUUUGCGGCGCAACCGUCAAAUUGUCAUUGAUACUGGCAGUCUUGAGUACAGUUGAGGUAGGCGGAAUUCGUGGUGUAGCGGUGAAAUGCGUAGAUAUCACGAAGAACUCCGAUUGCGAAGGCAGCUUACUAAACUGCCACUGACAUUGAUGCUCGAAAGUGUGGGUAUCAAACAGGAUUAGAUACCCUGGUAGUC
rnacentral:rRNA from 1 species